UGGUGCAGCGGCGUGGGAGUACGAGGAGGUGCUGGACCGGCUCUCCUCGCUCAUCAUGUAGAAGGUGCGCGCGGACAUCGGCAACCGCGGCAACCAGUGGGACCUCAUGGGCCGCUACCUCCAGAUUCUGGAGCUGGAGGAGCCCAUCGCGCGGAUGAAGGUCAUCCAUGCCGCCGGCACCAAAGGUCAUCCAUGUCGCGCGGCCCGAUCGGGAAGCUCCGAUUCGUCUGCCCAACAGUCAGCAGCAGCAACCUAGUCGUCGUCGUCGAUGGUAGGGUUGUAACCUCACUGUCACGCUAAUGGACGCAAAAAAGAAGAGUGGUAGUACUAUCAAUGGUUCAGUCAGCGCCUCAACAACGUCUGCACUACUUCUGAUAUUGUUUUUCAGUAGCUUUUUUCUGCACCUUUUUCUUUCAGUUCUUAGUGCUGCUGCCCCAUGAACACAUUUUUUUAAUUUGACUGUACAUUCAAAUGAAGCCUUUGUUAAGUACACACUCC